UAGGGAAUCUUCGGCAAUGGGGGGAACCCUGACCGAGCAACGCCGCGUGAGUGAAGAAGGUUUUCGGAUCGUAAAGCUCUGUUGUUAAGGAAGAACGAGUGUGAGAAUGGAAAGUUCAUGCUGUGACGGUACUUAACCAGAAAGGGACGGCUAACUACGUGCCAGCAGCCGCGGUAAUACGUAGGUCCCGAGCGUUGUCCGGAUUUAUUGGGCGUAAAGCGAGCGCAGGCGGUUAGAAAAGUCUGAAGUGAAAGGCAGUGGCUCAACCAUUGUAGGCUUUGGAAACUGUUUAACUUGAGUGCAGAAGGGGAGAGUGGAAUUCCAUGGGUAGCGGUGAAAUGCGUAGAUAUAUGGAGGAACACCGGUGGCGAAAGCGGCUCUCUGGUCUGUAACUGACGCGGAGGCUCGAAAGCGUGGGGAGCGAACAGG
rnacentral:rRNA from 1 species